rnacentral:rRNA from 1 species
UACGGGGGGGGCAAGCGUUGUUCGGAAUUACUGGGCGUCAAGGGCUCGUAGGCGGCCCACUAAGUCCGACGUGAAAUCCCCAGGCUUAACUUGGGAACUGCGUCGGAUACUGGUGGGCUUGAAUCCGGGAGAGGGAUGCGGAAUUCCAGGUGUAGCGGUGAAAUGCGUAGAUAUCUGGAGGAACACCGGUGGCGAAGGCGGCAUCCUGGACCGGCAUUGACGCUGAGUGAGCGAAAGCCAGGGGAGCAAACGGG